rnacentral:rRNA from 1 species
AUUGAACGCUGGCGGCAGGCCUAACACAUGCAAGUCGAACGAGUGGCGGACGGGAGAGUAAUGUCUGGGAAACUGCCUGAUGGAGGGGGAUAACUUUUGGAAACGGUAGCUAAUCCCGCAUACCAUCGGAUGUGCCCAGAUGGGAGUAGCUUGUUGGUGGGGUAACGGCUCACCUAGGCGACGAUCCCUAGCUGGUCUGAGAGGAUGACCAGCCGAACUGGAACUGAGACACGGUCCAGACUCCUACGUGAGGAAGCAGUGGGGAAUAGUGCACAAUGGGCGCAAGCCUGAUGCAGCCAUGCCGCGUGUAUGAAGAAGGCCUGCGGGUUGUAAAGUACUUUCAGCGGGGAGGCGUUACCCGCAGAAGAAGCACCGGCUAACUCCGUGCCAGCAGCCGCGGUAAUUC